rnacentral:rRNA from 1 species
AUGACCGGAGGCGAUGGAGCAGCUGCAGCCACGGCUGGCAUGGAGAACACGAGGAACGAGCCCGCUCGCAAGGGGCCGAAGCUCCGGCGACCAAACGAUCCUCCUGCCCGCUAUGGUCCGCUUGAGGAGGAACUCACAGUAGAAAUCAAUUAUAGCGGUUUUUUGUGUGGAUUUGGGGCCGCGAAGAGCUAUGUUGAUGGCAAGCAAGCAAGAUUUGAUGGCUGUGAAGCAGAUACUUGGUCACCUCUGUGGCUGACAGAUUUCAUGGAGCAGCUAGGUUAUCGUGAUCGGGAUAAGUAUACUUUGUACUGGCUUCUCCCUGGAAUGGAUCUCGGAUCAGGACUCCGCAUUAUAGACCGAGAUGUUGACACAAUGCAUAUGAUUGUUGUUGUUCCUAAAUUUCAAUACUUUCAGAUUUUUGUGGACCACAAAGAUAUGGAUUUUGAUGAUGUUGUUGUAAUUGAUGAUGUCGUGAUUGGUGGCGCUCCUAGUUCAAGGAAGUACGAGCAGCAAGUAGUGGCAAGUCUCCAGCUAGGCAGCAACAACAUAGCAAUGCGCAUGAGCUGA